rnacentral:rRNA from 1 species
GUGGGGAAUAUUGCACAAUGGGGGAAACCCUGAUGCAGCGACGCCGCGUGAGUGAAGAAGUAUUUCGGUACGUAAAGCUCUAUCAGCAAGGAAGAAAAUGACGGUACUUGACUAAGAAGCCCCGGCUAACUACGUGCCAGCAGCCGCGGUAAUACGUAGGGGGCAAGCGUUAUCCGGAUUUACUGGGUGUAAAGGGAGCGUAGACGGUAUGGUAAGUCAGAUGUGAAAGCCCGGGGCUCAACCCCGGGACUGCAUUUGAAACUAUCAGACUAGAGUGCAGGAGAGGUAAGGGGAAUUCCUAGUGUAGCGGUGAAAUGCGUAGAUAUUAGGAGGAACACCAGUGGCGAAGGCGGCUUACUGGACUGUAACUGACGUUGAGGCUCGAAAGCGUGGGGAGCAAACAGGAUUAGAUACCCUUGUAGUCC